CGGGGACCCGGCUGGUGGCGGAGUGCUCCAGGACAGUGGUUGCUGCCUUUGCUAGCAUCGACUCAGCGUUUACAAAAUUCGAAGAGAAGCACAAGAAGAUGAUCAAGGGCACCUCGCGGAUUCUGCAGCACCUCGCGUGCGAGUACCCGCCCUACCUCACUGAAAUGCUUUCUAUUUCUGGCAAGG
rnacentral:snRNA from 1 species